rnacentral:rRNA from 1 species
CUACGGGAGGCAGCAGUGGGGAAUAUUGCACAAUGGGCGCAAGCCUGAUGCAGCGACGCCGCGUGAGGGAUGACGGCCUUCGGGUUGUAAACCUCUUUCAGUAGGGAAGAAGCGAAAGUGACGGUACCUGCAGAAGAAGCACCGGCUAACUACGUGCCAGCAGCCGCGGUAAUACGUAGGGUGCGAGCGUUAUCCGGAAUUAUUGGGCGUAAAGAGCUCGUAGGCGGUUUGUCGCGUCUGUCGUGAAAGUCCGGGGCUUAACCCCGGAUCUGCGGUGGGUACGGGCAGACUAGAGUGCAGUAGGGGAGACUGGAAUUCCUGGUGUAGCGGUGGAAUGCGCAGAUAUCAGGAGGAACACCGAUGGCGAAGGCAGGUCUCUGGGCUGUAACUGACGCUGAGAGCG